rnacentral:rRNA from 1 species
AGUGAACGCUGGCGGCAGGCCUAACACAUGCAAGUCGAACGGCAGCACAAGAGAGCUUGCUCUCUGGGUGGCGAGUGGCGGACGGGUGAGGAAUGCAUCGGAAUCUGCCCAUUUGUGGGGGAUAACCUCGGGAAACCGGGACUAAUACCGCAUACGACCUACGGGUGAAAGCAGGGGAUCUUCGGACCUUGCGCAGAUGGAUGAGCCGAUGCCGGAUUAGCUAGUUGGAGGGGUAAAGGCCCACCAAGGCGACGAUCCGUAGCUGGUCUGAGAGGAUGAUCAGCCACACUGGGACUGAGACACGGCCCAGACUCCUACGGGAGGCAGCAGUGGGGAAUAGUGGACAAUGGGCGCAAGCCUGAUCCAGCCAUGCCGCGUGUGUGAAGAAGGCCUUCGGGUUGUAAAGCACUUUUGUUGGGAAAGAAAAGCAGCCGGUUAAUACCCGGUUGUCAUGACGGUACCCAAAGAAUAAGCACCGGCUAACUUCG